UAAUACGUAGGGUGCGAGCGUUGUCCGGAAUUAUUGGGCGUAAAGAGCUCGUAGGCGGUCUGUUGCGUCGAUCGUGAAAACCUGGGGCUUAACCCUGGGCUUGCGGUCGAUACGGGCAGACUUGAGUUCGGUAGGGGAGACUGGAAUUCCUGGUGUAGCGGUGAAAUGCGCAGAUAUCAGGAGGAACACCGGUGGCGAAGGCGGGUCUCUGGGCCGAUACUGACGCUGAGGAGCGAAAGCGUGGGGAGCGAACAGGAUUAGAUACCCUGGUAGUCCACGCCGUAAACGUUGGGCGCUAGGUGUGGGGCUCUUUCCACGGGUUCCGUGCCGUAGCUAACGCAUUAAGCGCCCCGCCUGGGGAGUACGGCCGCAAGGCUA
rnacentral:rRNA from 1 species